rnacentral:miRNA from 1 species
UGUAGCCAGGGCUUGGGCCUG